CCUACGGGGGGCAGCAGUGGGGAAUAUUGCACAAUGGGCGAAAGCCUGAUGCAGCAACGCCGCGUGCGCGAUGAAGGCCUUCGGGUUGUAAAGCGCUUUUCUGGGGGAAGAGAGAGGACUGUACCCCAGGAAUAAGUCUCGGCUAACUACGUGCCAGCAGCCGCGGU
rnacentral:rRNA from 1 species